UAUAAGUAAAUAAUAAAUACAUAUGAAGAAUCAAACAACAUAUGUCAAGAAAUUAAACGAAAAUGUCUGUUCUUUCGCCUUAUUUAUUCCAUCUAUCCAUCUAAUGCAAGUAUGGAGCGAACUAUCAAAACAAAGACCAACUAGCCAACACAGGAAAGCAUGAUAUGGGAUGAAAUCAAGGAGAAAACAAAAAUUGCAGAGUGGUCAUCCCAACUUCCACAGUUAACGCGGCUGAUUGUAGAAAAUAAACAAGUAAUUCGCCAACAACUGAUACACAGCCUACAGUUCUUCUGCUACAAGUAUACAAAGGCAGGAGGGUGAAAGAGAGAUUUUCGUUUGUAGAUAGCUUUAACUUACUACGGACUGCAUGUAGCCGCAAAGGUAACAAUACGGUUUCAAGCAUAUGAUGGAGCUAGGCAUUCGUCAACCAUGUCGACAAGGUUAGGGUUCUCCAAUGCUGCUGCUAUUCGCUCCUUGUCGUUUAGUUGUUUGUUCACUGCAGAAAUAAAUAGACCAAAAAACGUGAUUGAAUUAGGGUACUUCAAGUUGGUAGGAAGAAACCGGCUGAAGAGCCAAAAGGGAAGCCUAAAAUGAGCGCCUUAGAAGUACUCCACCAAUUAUUAUGAACAGUCUAUGAUUAAUUACAUUUUAAGCACAUUUCACCCGUAAGAAGUAAGGAGAGAAUGUUUUCCACCUACAAGUUGCAUGAUAUUGAUAUCAUUUGAGAAACACAGCUGUUGAAUUUCUUCAUAUAAUUUUCAAACUUCAGGUGCAGCUCCACCGAUUGACAAGAAGGUUAUCCUACUUAUAAAAUUCUGAUGAACAUAAAGUGACCAGAUGAUUAAGAGGGAAUACCUGCAGCUUCAGUUGCAUGUGUUCCCGGUGCAACCCUUAUAUCCACCUGAUGUUCAUAAGCAGAGCAAAGUUUGGGAAUUAAAGAAUAAACAUAACAUCCAUGAGAAACUAGCAGAAGCAGAAGCAUUCUAUCUCCAGUGUAUGACUACUGAGACAAUUAGCAUUGCGAAACUAUAGGUGCUAAUGUCACCCAAAGGCACGGUGGUUCUAAAUUCCCAGAAGAUUUUUAUAUGAACAGCAAUCACUGAAUGGAAAAAGAGCACAUUGGAACUAUACCUUGUAACGGGGUGGUAGGCUUCUCAUGAGCUUCACACGCAAGCAAAGACCAAUUACAGUUGCCAUGCUGCAAUGCUCCACUGUGGGAGUAAACGUCACCCUGAAUAUACCAGCAGAUACUAUUCAGCAAUAUGUAACCAAAACUGGCACGCCAACAAGGUCACACAUACCAACCAACAUAGAAAAUUGGUAGAAUACCACCUUACAUAACUACGUUUGUCAUCCACUUCAAUCGCCUCUUCCGAUAUUACAUUGAGCUCCUCCAACGAGUAAGGAUGCUCUGGAUCCUUUAUGUCUCUCACAUGAUGUAUGAACAAGUUAAGAAGCACAGCUAAUAAGUUCAAUUCAAUUGCUAAGACAGUCUAAAUGAUUAUUAUCUUCAUCAAACUCAAUCUCUUAGUUAAUAAAUAUUCAAAACUCACUGAACCCUACAAUUCAAGCCGUGCACCUGCUGAUUGAACAAUACCUACUAAUUUAAAAUUCAACUCGAAAUUUCAACACAGGAAAAGGAGAAAUAUUUAAAAUAACGACCAAAGGAUAUCAAACACUUCCAGUUGAUCGAUGGCCUCAGCAGAGUACUCGUCGACAUCAGACGAAGCAGGCCUUUGCCGCCGCUCUUUCUUUUCGUAGAUAAUAGGGUUUUCGUUUAUCAACCCUGACACCAUCGCUCAAACACCCUCAAAUACAGCUGGAAAGGCCCGAAACCACCUCCUCUCUUCUUCCUGGGAGACAGCAGCAACCAGAGAAAAUAAGACCGUCUGUGAAGACGCGAUACUGGACCUCUCUUGAGUACCAGCGGUCACCACAGGAGAUGUUUGAUUCGAAGAAGUCCGAUGGCUUAACGCGAGAGAAUGCGGAAAUUGGAAGAAAAUUCGAUUUAGGGCUCGGUAUUUUUGUCGUCGAAUGAAGGCAGUAAAAAAACUUAAACGAAGUACAGAGUCUGAAACUAUUGAAGUCCUUUAACUUUAUUAUUCUUCCCAUUUCAGUACAGAACUAUCAGCCUAUAUCUGUGACAUACUUGCAUGAUCCAGAAUUGUUCCUUGUACAUACUUCAGUUGCACGAACCUAAAACACUCAGAUUCUAACUUUUAAAUACUACAUUAUAUAUUCAGAUUUAAAAUUUUAAUUUUUGAAAAUAAAUCGAUAUUAAUAAAUCAUAACAUUCAAAAAAUUAAAUUAUAAACCGUUGACUUUAUAUACUAAAUUUUAAACAUUAAAUUAAAACCUCAAAACUUUCAAUUUUAAGUAUUAAAUAUAUAAAAAAUAUAAUUGUGAGUACUAUAUACCCAUUAGUAUCCAAAUAUUACCCAUAUGUAUUUAAUCAUGGUAAAACUCUGGUUACAAGCUCAAAAUCACAUAUGUAUCACAAUCGUUCAAUAAAAAUAAAACUUGUACCCAUAUUACUUUUUAUAAUAAUGAAAUAAUACUUUAUAUUCACAUAGAAGUCUCAAUGUACAAGAUGUAUGCUGAACCAGAAUUUCAGAAGCCAAGGACAGAGAUCUAACUAGCUGGGUCAACAGAAAUCCUAAAACCAUAAACAAGCCCAACCCUAAUUAAACAAGAUUGAACACCAUGUUCUCUGUACUCCAUAAUAAACCUUCAUUUGGCCAGCAACAAAUCAAAUGAUGUCAAAGUAUGUGAAGCCAAUUCCAGAUUCAUAUAGCAACUCAGAUUCUUCAACUCACUCUGGACCGGCUUGAUCUGCAAACAAACAUAAGAAUACAGCGUUGUUAGUCUCUUAACCACAACAUAAUAAGUCUCACUUAAGGUUAAAUUUUGUAUAGCACAUAUAUGCACCUUAAGCGGCUGGUCAAGUGUAUAUUCUCUGCUAUCACAUUCCCAAACGUCAAUUCUAUCAAAACAAGGACCAACUAGCCAACAUAGGAAGGCACGAUAGGAGAUGAAAUCAAGGACUGCUGAAAAAUUGCAGAGUGGUAACUAAUCCCGCCUUCUAUAGCUAACGCAGUAGAUUGCAAAAACAAGCAAUUCGCCUACAACUGAUACAGCUUACAGUUCAUCAGCUACAAGUACAAAGGCAGGAUAAGGAAAGAGUGAUUUUCAUUUGCAGAUAGCCUUGACUUACUAUGGACAGCAUGUAGCCGCAAAGGUAACAAUCUGGUUUCAAGCGUAUGAUGGAGCUAG
rnacentral:lncRNA from 1 species